CUCUUGGCUUCAUAGAAUCAUGGACUGUUGUUAGUGCUGGCUGGGCAGAAUGCAGAUAGACUACAACUUCAUGGGAAUGUCACUCGGAGUCUCCUAAGUGCUAGUGAUUGCGCUCCAAGGUUCCGGGCAUGAAGGGGGCGCCACCCUGAACCUCCACCUCUUUGACGAGCGACAGUGGAAGUUGACCUGACUGUACUAUCUUUGCAGAGAGGGCCUCCACCUUUGAGCUGGAGGCAGAAGCCCUUUAAGCAGAGAGCUGCGACAUCUUGGAUUUCCUUCCAUUGUGCUCCGCUUUUAAAUUUUUUAAACUUUGUUUCAGUCCUAAGGCCUGUGGUAGAAGAACACAGCUUUCCAAUCUUAUCUAUUUUCCAGGUUACAGCUCAGCUACCCAGCCUGCUCAUCCUUCCCGCCAUCAUCGACCAUGGACUUGCCUGUUGAGGUGGAGAUGCCUUACAGCUCAGGCAGGUGAGAACGAAGGCAGCAUGUGGAGAUGACUACACUGGAGUGUCCUAUCAUCUGUCAUCUGGAAGAAUUGUCUUGUGGUAUGUCUGACAUGAUCUUUCUGAAGCUAUGUGACUGGGAGCCUGUCCCUUUUGUUCCUGCCCUGAUAUGUGCUUGACCUAGUAAUCACAACUGACUUUGUUGUGGUAAAAGUCUACACCCUGGGAGAGACAAGUUGGAGUCUCAGUAGGUAUACCUUGAAGAAACAACCAUUUAAAUGCAAAAUGAGGAAUGGAUGUGACAGUUGGACUCUGGCUAGGGUCCCUGGGGGAUGGGGGGUGCCUGUCUCACUGCAAAGGGUCUGUGUCAUCUGGUGAGAAAGAAUGGACCUCAGAUGAUAGACCUGGGUUGUAAAUCUUCCUUCAGCAUAGAUGGGCACUCUCGGAUGAGUUACUCAGCCUCCUUGAGUCUGUUUCCUUAUCAAUACAAGAGGGGAAGAAUCUCUAUUUCGGAGGGGCAUUGUGCAAAUAAA